AGUCUGGUGCCAGCAGCCGCGGUAAUUCCAGCUCCAAUAGCGUAUAUUAAAGUUGUUGCAGUUAAAAUGCUCGUAGUUGGAUUUCGGGGCUCCUUAUGUAAUAGUCAUGCGGUGGACACUUGCUUGUUGCUUUAGGGGGGUGUUUUUUUGGGGCAACCCGAGGACACCACCCGGCGGCAGGGGAAAGGCCACUGCGGGCGGGGCCCAUUUAUAUUCCUCGAAGACGUCACGGGCCCUUAACUGGUGUACUGUGGUCGCGGAUUCGAGACGUUUACUUUGAAAAAAUUAGAGUGUUCAAAGCAGGCAAUCAAAAACGCUUGAAUACAUUAGCAUGGAAUAAUGGAAUAGGACUUUGGUCUUAUUUUGUUGGUUUCUAGGACUGAAGUAAUGAUUAAUAGGGACAGUUGGGGGCAUUCGUAUUUAAUUGUCAGAGGUGAAAUUCUUGGAUUUAUGAAAGACGAACUUCUGCGAAAGCAUUUGCCAAGGAUGUUUUCAUUAAUCAAGAACGAAAGUUAGGGGAUCGAAGACGAUUAGAUACCGUCGUAGUCCUAACCAUAAACUAUGCCGACUAGGGAUCAGUGGGGAACAAAUCAAAAAACUCCAUUGGCACCUUAUGAGAAAUCAAAGUUUUUGGGUUCUGGGGAAAGUACCAACGCAAGUUGGAAACUUAAAGGAAUUGACGGAAGGGCACACCAGGCGUGGAAUCUGCGGCUUAAUUUGACCCAACACGGGGAAACUCACCAGGUCCAGACAAAAUAAGGAUUGACAGAUUGAGAGCUCUUUCUUGAUUUUUUGGGCAGUGGUGCAUGGCCGUUCUUAGUUGGUGGAGCGAUCUGUCUGGUUAAUUCCGAUAACGAACGAGACCUUAACCUGCUAAAUAGCGACGUCAUUCCUUGUGAAGGACGGAUUUCGACUUCUUAGAGGGACUAUCGGUGACUAACCGAUGGAAGUUUGAGGCAAUAACAGGUCUGUGAUGCCCUUAGAUUUCUGGGCCGCACGCGCGUUACACUGACAGAGGCAGCGAGUUUUUUUAAAUAUCCUGGCCUGGAAAGGUUUGGGUAAUCUUGUGAAUCUCUGUCGUGAUGGGGAUAGAUCUUUGUAAUUAUCGAUCUUCAACGAGGAAUGCCUUGUAAUCGCGGUUCAUCAAAUCGCGUUGACUACGUCCCUGCCCUUUGUACACACCGCCCGUCGCUACUACCGAUUGAAUGGUUUAGUGAGGUCUCGGGACUGGCGCGGCUUGGCUGUAAAAGGCCGAUCCAUGCUGGGAACUUGCCCAAACUUGAUCAUUUAGAGGAAGUAAAAGUC
rnacentral:rRNA from 1 species